CCUACGGGAGGCAGCAGUGGGGAAUAUUGCACAAUGGGGGGAACCCUGAUGCAGCGACGCCGCGUGAGGGAAGAAGUAUUUCGGGAUGUAAAGCUCUAUCAGCAGGGAAGAAAAUGACGGUACCUGACUAAGAAGCCCCGGCUAACUACGUGCCAGCAGCCGCGGUAAUACGUAGGGGGCAAGCGUUAUCCGGAUUUACUGGGUGUAAAGGGAGCGUAGACGGUUAUGCAAGUCUGACGUGAAAGCCCACGGCUCAACCAUGGGACUGCUUUGGAAACUGUAAGACUGGAGUGCAGGAGAGGUAGGCGGAAUUCCUAGUGUAGCGGUGAAAUGCGUAGAUAUUAGGAGGAACACCAGUGGCGAAGGCGGCUUACUGGACUGUGACUGACGUUGAGGCUCGAAGGCGUGGGGAGCAAACAGGAUUAGAUACCCUGGUAGUC
rnacentral:rRNA from 1 species